rnacentral:ncRNA from 7 species
GCUGAAAAACAUAACCCAUAAAAUGCUAGCUGUACCAGGAACCACCUCCUUAGCCUGUGUAAUCUCCCUUACACGGGCUUAUUUUUU